rnacentral:rRNA from 1 species
GACGAACGCUGGCGGCGUGCUUAACACAUGCAAGUCGAACGCUGAAGCUCAGCUUUUGUUGGGUGGAUGAGUGGCGAACGGGUGAGUAACACGUGAGUAACCUGCCUCCUUCUUUGGGAUAACGCCCGGAAACGGGUGCUAAUACUGGAUAUUCACUGGUCUUCGCAUGGGGGUUGGUGGAAAGGGCUUUUCUGGUGGGGGAUGGGCUCGCGGCCUAUCAGCUUGUUGGUGGGGUGAUGGCCUACCAAGGCUUUGACGGGUAGCCGGCCUGAGAGGGUGACCGGUCACAUUGGGACUGAGAUACGGCCCAGACUCCUACGGGAGGCAGCAGUGGGGAAUAUUGCACAAUGGGCGCAAGCCUGAUGCAGCGACGCCGCGUGAGGGAUGGAGGCCUUCGGGUUGUGAACCUCUUUCGCUCAUGGUCAAGCCGCAACAAUGGUUGUGGUGAGGGUAGUGGGUAAAGAAGCGCCGGCUAACUACGUG